UUGGUAAAUUUAUAACCAUUAGAAAGCAUAUUGAAUGAAAGAAAAUUCAUGAAUGUUUUGAUGUCUCUAUGCUCCUAAAACAUGAUAUAAAAAUUUGUUUGAACUUAAACAUGGAUUUUUCAAUUUACAAAAAUUUUUAUCCUUCGCUAACAUCUGUUUUUCUCGAAGACUAACUUUAUCUAUCAUUUACAAGAUCAACACGCAUCAUCAUCUUCACCGUCAUAUAUUUUUCUAGUUAAUUCCCUCCAAAAUCUCAAAUGGACAUAUUAAGAUCAAUGCGAGGCUUCUUGGUUGCAGGCAACGGAACAAUGGAAUUGCAUCUCGGGCACUUGGGAUUGUUUUUCGUUAUCAACACAUAAGAUAAGCACCCGGGACACCCUACUGCCACGGGUAAUGCCAGUAACUUCUCAUCCUUCUCCUGAUCCUCCUGAGCUUCCCUAAUUGAGGACGACGAAGAAGAAUACGACGGUGACAUUNNNN
rnacentral:lncRNA from 1 species